AACUCGGCAAAAUGACCCCGUAACUUCGGGAGAAGGGGUGCUCUAUUAGGGUGCAAGCCCGAGAGAGCCGCAGUGAAUAGGCCCAGGCGACUGUUUAGCAAAAACACAGGUCUCUGCAAAACCGUAAGGUGACGUAUAGGGGCUGACGCCUGCCCGGUGCUGGAAGGUUAAGAGGAGUGCUUAGCUUCGGCGAAGGUACGAAUUGAAGCCCCAGUAAACGGCGGCCGUAACUAUAACGGUCCUAAGGUAGCGAAAUUCCUUGUCGGGUAAGUUCCGACCCGCACGAAAGGCGCAACGAUCUGGGCACUGUCUCAACGAGAGACUCGGUGAAAUUAUAGUACCUGUGAAGAUGCAGGUUACCCGCGACAGGACGGAAAGACCCCGUGGAGCUUUACUGCAACCUGAUAUGGAAUGUUUGUACCGCUUGUACAGGAUAGGUAGGAGCCGAAGAGACGUGUGCGCUAGCAUACGAGGAGGCAAUGGUGGGAUACUACCCUGGCUGUAUGACCAUUCUAACCCGCCACGCUUAGCGCGUGGGGAGACAGUGUCAGGUGGGCAGUUUGACUGGGGCGGUCGCCUCCUAAAGAGUAACGGAGGCGCCCAAAGGUUCCCUC
rnacentral:rRNA from 1 species